AGAUUGGUAGUGGGUGCAGCGACAGGGGGUGGGAGAAGUCGUGUACAUGAGCACGAAUAUGUCGCUGGAAAUUUUGACAUGUGCGUGGAAUUUAAACAAGUAGUCUAGUAAAAUACACAUAUAAAUAAAUAUAUACAAAUAUUUAAAUAAAUAAAGAUAUAUGUGUUAAUACAUAUAAAUUUUUAUGUAUUAUUAAAUAAAAUUAGUAUCAAUUAAUAAUUAUUGAUAUCAAUUACAAUAAUACUGAUAAGGUUACAUUAGUAUUAUAAUUAUAAAAUGGAUAUUUGGAAUAUCGCUAUUUUAAGAAGACGAAUGCCAUUCCGGAGGGAAUACUAAAGGGCUUAAUCUAACGACUGGCCAAUUAAAACAUUAAAAAGAAUAAAAUGUCACGUUAAAAUAAGUUUUCGCUACCAUUCAGAUGCAAUAAUAUUUUUCGCUAGUAAUGAAGUUUAAUUUAAGUAUAAAAGAAUAUAAUGCUUCGUUUCGGUAACUGUAUGAUCUAUAAAUUGAGAUUUUUUUUAACGAGUAAGAAAACACUUUUUAUUCAAGAAAUAAAAAACAAGUUAAAAGUUAUAAUUUCAAGGAAGGUUUGAAAAUUGGUGCUAUAAAUAAAUUACAAAAUAUAUUGUGAUCAAGAAUAUUAUCAUUAAAUAAACCUAAACUCAAGUAUGAAAGUAUAGUCUUUACUUCUUUUCAGUUUUGCUUGAAUAGCAAACAAAAGUAUCGAUAUACGGAGAUAGCUAAUGUAUUAAGUUAUUAAACCAAAAAGAACUCUAAUUCAUGAUUGAUCUUAAAAAGCUAAUAGUCAUGAGUUUUUACACUUAUUUACUUAUUGAAAAAUAGAUUUUGUGUUAUUAAUAACGUUUAUCAUGAUAACUAACUAACAGGGAUUAGAAUUUGAGAUUAAUUUGAGGGUUCAAAUGGGAUAGGGUAAAGCUAUUUCAUAAAAAUUUUACUUAAAUCUAUAAAAUUUAGUAAUCAAAAAAUAAACAAUUUGUUAUGUUUAUACAUAAAAAAUUGUCAGUUUGUCUACAAAAUUUUUAAAAGUAAAAAAUUUCAUAUGAUAAUUUAUUUUUUUUUAAAUUCAUAAUAACUAUUACGUGUGAAGCUUGUGCUGCGUUUUCUAUUCUGAUGAUCCGUUGAUGUUUAAUGAAUAAAUAUUGAUUAUUAAUUAUAUGUUUCAAUUAUUAAUUAAAAACAGAAGUCAUGCCUAUUAAAGUCUACUAACAUCUGUCUAAAUUUUUGCAAUAGUAAAGUUUUCUAACUUUAAAUCCGACGGUUUUAACAUAUUUAAAUACAAAUAAACAAAAAAAUGUUAAUCAAAGUUUUAAUAUUUAAUCAUUGACAAUAAAUAAACAAGUAAAUAAACAAAAAAUAUCAUUUUGACUCUAUACAUUGGGAAAAAAAAAAAAUUGUUCAAAAGCACAUAUUGAUCCCUGUCUGCAUAUUGUCUACUACAAAUAAUGUAAUAUAAAAAUAUAGUAAGUGGAGUUUGAACGUUACAAGAAAAUACAUUAUCUAUUUCAACACUCAAUUGUUCAAGAGGAUUUAAGUUCAUCAUUUCUUCAACUUUCUUAGAAUUGUUGGAAUGCUGAUUUUGGAUGCUGAUAAAGGAUUAGUUGUUCAUUAUAAAUUUAUACAUUACCACUAAUCAUUGAUGAUAAUGAUAAAUCAUUGUUUGCUGUUUCACAUUGACAACAGUUUUUUCGAAAUGAAUUUUAAAUUAAUUAAAGUUGAUUUAAUUAAUCGACUAAGCAAAUAUUUUCUUACUAUAAGAGGGAAAAUGAUUUAAAAAAAAUUAAUAACAAAAUAGAGUUACAAAAACUGCAUUUUGAUUUCAAUACAGUUUUUUUUCCACUGUGCAAUUAAUUGAAUUAGUUUAAUAACAAUUUUGUUUUUCUUUUUUAAUCGAUAUAUAACUGAACCAAUUCUAAUUAUUUGUCUUUUUACAAAUAUAUAAUAUAAGUAAUUUACAUUAAAUUUUUCUCAAUUAAUAAACAAACAAAGAAUUUUAUACUAUCCGUUUUUUCAAAUCUUA